rnacentral:rRNA from 1 species
CCUUGACCUCCAAUCGGGUGAA